AGAGUUUGAUCCUGGCUCAGGAUGAACGCUAGCUACAGGCUUAACACAUGCAAGUCGAGGGGAAACGAUAUUGGAAGCUUGCUUCCGAUAGGCGUCGACCGGCGCACGGGUGAGUAACGCGUAUCCAACCUGCCCAUCACUUGGGAAUAACCUUGCGAAAGUAAGACUAAUGCCCAAUGACAUUUAUAGAAGGCAUCGGAAAUGAAUUAAAGAUUUAUUGGUGAUGGAUGGGGAUGCGUCUGAUUAGCUUGUUGGCGGGGUAACGGCCCACCAAGGCGACGAUCAGUAGGGGUUCUGAGAGGAAGGUCCCCCACAUUGGAACUGAGACACGGUCCAAACUCCUACGGGAGGCAGCAGUGAGGAAUAUUGGUCAAUGGGCGAGAGCCUGAACCAGCCAAGUAGCGUGCAGGAUGACGGCCCUAUGGGUUGUAAACUGCUUUUAUAGGGGAAUAAAGUGAGCCACGUGUGGUUUUUUGCAUGUACCCUAUGAAUAAGGACCGGCUAAUUCCGUGCCAGCAGCCGCGGUAAUACGGAAGGUCCGGGCGUUAUCCGGAUUUAUUGGGUUUAAAGGGAGCGUAGGCCGGAGAUUAAGCGUGUUGUGAAAUGUAGAUGCUCAACAUCUGCACUGCAGCGCGAACUGGUUUCCUUGAGUACGCAUAAAGUGGGCGGAAUUCGUGGUGUAGCGGUGAAAUGCUUAGAUAUCACGAAGAACUCCGAUUGCGAAGGCAGCUCACUGGGGCGCAACUGACGCUGAAGCUCGAAAGCGCGGGUAUCGAACAGGAUUAGAUACCCUGGUAGUCCGCGCGGUAAACGAUGGAUGCCCGCUGUUGGGCCAACUGGUUCAGCGGCCAAGCGAAAGCAUUAAGCAUCCCACCUGGGGAGUACGCCGGCAACGGUGAAACUCAAAGGAAUUGACGGGGGCCCGCACAAGCGGAGGAACAUGUGGUUUAAUUCGAUGAUACGCGAGGAACCUUACCCGGGCUUGAAUUGCAGAGGAAGGAUUUGGAGACAAUGACGCCCUUCGGGGCCUCUGUGAAGGUGCUGCAUGGUUGUCGUCAGCUCGUGCCGUGAGGUGUCGGCUUAAGUGCCAUAACGAGCGCAACCCCUAUCCUUAGUAGCCAGCAGUAAGAUGGGCACUCUAGGGAGACUGCCGGGGAUAACCCGGAGGAAGGUGGGGAUGACGUCAAAUCAUCAUGCCCCUUAUGAUUUGGGCUACACACGUGCUACAGUGGCGUAAACAAAGGGAA
rnacentral:rRNA from 1 species